UAUAUUGUUAGUAUAUAAAUAGUAUGAAAACAAAAAAUUAUGGCGGUGUUUUAAGCUUUUCAGAGGAAUUUGCUCUUUAAUGGAUAAUACGCCAAAAUCUUACUAGAAUUUGUUAUUUUCAGUUUGUAUACCACUAUUGAAGUAAUUAAUUAAAAUAAUUAUUUAAAUUUUUUUAAAUUAUAAAAAAUUUAAGUCAAGGUGCAGCUAAAAUUCUAGAAUGAAGUGAAUUACAUUUCUUAACAGAAUUAAAACAAUUUAAAUAAAAAUUAGGAUUUGAAAGUAAAAAUUCAAUACAAUGGUUUUUUGAAUUAAG
rnacentral:rRNA from 1 species